rnacentral:snRNA from 1 species
UGAUAAUGGGUCUAUCCGACAAAAUUGGAACGAUAUCGAGACGAUUAACAUGGCCUUUGCGCAAGGCUGACAUGAACAAGUCGAGAAAUAAUCUUUU